rnacentral:rRNA from 1 species
UCAGUAACACGUAGUCAACAUGCCCAGGGGACAGGUGGAUAACCUCGGGAAACUGAGGAUAAACCGCAAUAGGUCACUACCUUCUGGAAUGGGUACCUGACCCAAACCUAUAUGGCCCCUGGAUAUUGGACUGCGGCGAUCAGGCUGUUGGUGAGGUAAUGGCCCACCAAACCUGUAACCGGUACGGGCUCUGAGAGGAGGAGCCCGGAGAUGGGCACUGAGACAAGGGCCCAGGCCCUAUGGGGCGCAGCAGGCGCGAAACCUCUGCAAUAGGCGAAAGCCUGACACGGGUUACUCUGAGUGAUGCCCGCUAAGGGUAUCUUUUGGCACCUACUAACAAUGGUGCAGAACAUAAGGGGUGGGGCCAAGUCUGGU